rnacentral:lncRNA from 10 species
ACACCACCAUGACUGGAAGUUUCCUUGGGCCCUCACAAGUAGCAGACACUGGCACCAUGCUUCCUGUACAGCCUGCAGAAUCAUGAGCCAGUUAAGUAUCUUUUCUUUAUAAAUUACCCAGCCUCAGGUAUUCCUUUAUAGUGACAUAGAAAUGGACUAACACACCUUCCCAAAGCCUGGCCACUCUGUUGUGUUUCAGAGGCAGAGGGAAGUGGCUUUACCCAGAAUUGAGGGUGACUCUACCAAUGACCAGCCCAUCCUGCCAGACACAGGGAUUAAAAGGAGAAGAAAAAUAUCCCCAAAUGACAGCCAGAGGAUAGAGGUCACCCAGAGUCAUAAAAGCCCAUGUUGGAUCCUAAUGCAGCAAGAAGAGUGUGUUCCGGCAGGAUUAUGAAAUGCCACGCAUUUUCAAACAAGCAUAACUUGGGCUGCCAUGCGUCAUCUGAGUGUUUGUCUGCCCAUAAUAUAAAACACAGACAGUUAUGGGUACCAGGCAGAUCAGAGCAACCCAGAAAAGGCCCUUUCAGGGAGUUGGGCCUCCAGGCUCUUGGCUGGUUGCAAAGCUGAGUCCUGGGCAUUCAGCCCAAGCCUGAACUCUUCCCCCACUGGGUCCUGCGCUCCCUGGUACCAAAGGAUUUGCUAGCUGUAAAAGCUGCAAAUAAACAUGCUGUUUGUCGAUGGGAAGUUUUGUCUUUAAAAUGAAAAAGGAGACUGCAGUCUGGAGGUGAGUGGGGCCGAGGGACUGAGGAAGGAGUUAGGCAGUUGCUCAAAGCAGGCAGCCUGGAUAGACCCCUCUCCCCUCUGCUCCUGGAGGAGCCCAGACAAUCCCCUUCUGUUAGUCAAUGCACCCACCCAGCUGAGCAGGAGGUCCAGUUACUGCCAGCAUUUAAGUGGGUGAAAGGUCACCACCAACCAGGUUUUAUUCACUCAACAAAAGCUCUUGGAGUCUGGGGUAAGACCAGGAAACAGAAGCCUCAAGCUUUGAAGCAAACAACUUCAAAGGAGACCUCCACCUUUGUCCUGGGAAUGGGGAGGAGGGGGAAGGAGAAGGUGGCAACUAAGUGCUAGAAACCCAGAAAAUGCUGAUUCAAAAAAAAUGAAAACCACACUUCUCAGGCAGUUGACACUCUCAGCUACCUUCCCUGGAAGCUGCGAGAGCUGGCAGGUUUGAACCAUCAUGCCUGCAGCAGAAUUUUAAUGUGGUCUCCACCUAUAAAUCAGCCCGUCUGGUUCUAAGAACCAUUACAGCAAAGCUAAGUGUCUACGAUUAGAGUUUAUCAUGACUCUCAAAAAGUGGCAGCUCCAACUUUAAGAACCACCAAAACAUCCAAUGUUCUUUCCACAAUAUGGCCCUUCUCUGAACUUAGAAUAAAUCAUUCUAGGUUACUUAAUAAAG